ACGCACCGGAUCCCAUCAGAAUUAUGAACUUAAACAAUGUGGUAAAUUGGAUGUAGUUGGCGAGCAUCAAGUGACAAGGGGAUGGAAUCAAGGGACAUGGUGGAGGCUCCUAGGGCAUGUAGAUUUUGAUUGGGUUCAUUUGGUCCCACUCCUUAUACUUUCAAAACAUGGGGCAAGGGCUAGGAAACUCCUGCAAUAAAUUGGGGCCAUGUUGUGUCAAACUCCAGAGCUGCUGAACCAUUCAAUACCAUGGCAAUAAUGGCUCGAAGAUUUGCGCGGUGGAGGAGAGUGGCUCGGCAACAAAGGGGAAAGUUGUACAUUAUGCGGGUGUGCGUAACCAUGCUCAUUUGUUGGCACAAGUACGCCUGACCAACUUCCCAAUUUUCUUGCUUCUCGGUACUCUGCUCUAACCCGGAUCUAGUUUGGCCGAUAGAAGCCGAAGUGGGGAAUGGUCCAUGUUACAAGACUACAAGGUGAACCAGAGAAUGGAGGUUUCACUUUUGAGUUGCCUUUUUUACAGGAGAGUUAGAGUUCUAUUUAUGUUCUAUGUGCUUGGGUUCUGAAAUCUGAACCAGUCUGUAUAAAUGAGUAGCACUAGUGAGAUGAGAGGAAGCCUUAUACUAAACAAAGAUACAACUUGUCGAAACUUGCACUGAU
rnacentral:lncRNA from 1 species